ACCGAGAUAGCUCAGCUGGGAGAGCGUUAGACUGAAGAUCUAAACGGUCCCUGGUUCAAUCCCUAGUUUCGGUA